AGAGGUCUCAAGCGUUGUUCGGAUUCAUUGGGCGUAAAGGGUGCGUAGGCGGCGGGGUAAGUCGGAUGUGAAAUCCCGGGGCUCAACCCCGGAACUGCAUUCGAUACUGCCUUGCUAGAGUACUGGAGAGGAGACUGGAAUUUACGGUGUAGCAGUGAAAUGCGUAGAUAUCGUAAGGAAGACCAGUGGCGAAGGCGAGUCUCUGACAGUUACUGACGCUGAGGCACGAAGGCCAGGGGAGCAAACGGGAUUAGAUACCCCGGUAGUCCUGGCAGUAAACGGUGCAUGUUUGGUGUGGGAGGAUUCGACCCCUUCCGUGCCGGAGCUAACGCGUUAAACAUGCCGCCUGGGGAGUACGGUCGCAAGAUUA
rnacentral:rRNA from 1 species